UACGUAGGGGGCAAGCGUUGUCCGGAAUUAUUGGGCGUAAAGAGCGCGUAGGCGGUCCGAUAAGUCGGCUGUGAAAGUCAGGGGCUCAACCCUUGGAAGCCGGCCGAUACUGUCGGACUAGAGUCCGGAAGAGGCGAGUGGAAUUCCUGGUGUAGCGGUGGAAUGCGCAGAUAUCAGGAGGAACACCUAUAGCGAAGGCAGCUUGCUGGGACGUUACUGACGCUAAGGCGCGAAAGCGUGGGGAGCGAACAGG
rnacentral:rRNA from 1 species